rnacentral:rRNA from 1 species
GAUGAACGCUGGCGGCGUGCCUAAUACAUGCAAGUCGAGCGAACAGACGAGUAGCUUGCUCCUCUGACGUUAGCGGCGUACGGGUGAGUAACACGUGGAUAACCUACCUAUAAGACUGGGAUAACUUCGGGAAACCGGAGCUAAUACCGGAUAAUAUAUUGAACCGCAUGGUUCAAUAUUGAAAGACGGUUUUGCUGUCACUUAUAGAUGGAUCCGCGCCGCCUUAGCUAGUUGGUAAGGUAACGGCUUACCAAGGCAACGAUGCGUAGCCGACAUGAGAGGGUGAUCGGCCACACUGGAACUGAGACACGGUCCAGACUCCUACGGGAGGCAGCAGUAGGGAAUCUUACGCAAUGGGCGAAAGCCUGACGGAGCAAAGCCGCGUGAGUGAUGAAGGUCUUCGGAUCGUAAAACUAUGUUAUUAGGGAAGAACAAAUGUGUAAGUAACUAUGAACGUCUUGACGGUACCUAAUCAGAAAGCCACGGCUAACUACGUG